AUGCGUGUGGCUGCAAGGGAAGAACCUGAUUAGUAUGACUUCUUGAGGCCUAAAGUCACUGUGUUCCAUGGGGAGACGGGCAGCACUAUUCCAUGGAGGGUGACUGGGACUAAGGCCACUGACCGAACAGACUGAGGAAGGUUGUGAUGGCUAAUUAAUGCUUCCUGUCUACUCGGCCGGAUUUGGAAUCACAUAGAAGACACACCUUGGCAGAAUCUUUGAGGGUGCUUCCAGAGAGGUUUAACUCAAGAGGGAAGAUCCACUCUGUAGUCCAGGCAGGUCUCAGACUUAUAAAGACUCUGUCUCUUCCAAGUACUGACCGGAUUUAACAGCAUGUCCCACCACGCCGAGCCCAAAACACCCACUCUGAAUAUGGACAGCACUAUCCCAUAGACUGGGAUUCCAGGUUAAAUAAAAAGGGGGAAAGGAGGGCCAUUAUUAAAUCUGAUGACCUGAGUUUGACAUCUGGGGACCCACAUGGUGGAUGGAAAGGACCAACUCUCAUAAAGUGUCCUCUGGCCUCCACAGGUGAGCCACGGCAUGCAUGGAUGUAUACACACAACAUACAUUAAUAUGUAAAAAAGGAGAAAGCAUGAGCUUCUUUGAUUCUUAACUGCAGUUGUCUCAUGCUCCCAUGGCCAUGCUCUCCUUGAAUAAUGGACUGUGUACCCUCUGUGAUGGUUUAAAUAAAAAUGGCCCAGUAGGCUUAUAUAUUUGAA